GACGAACGCUGGCGGCGUGCUUAACACAUGCAAGUCGAACGGAAAGGCCCUGCUCUUGUGGCGUGCUCGAUUGGCGAACGGGUGAGUAACACGUGAGUAACCUCUCCUUGACUUUGGGAUAACUUCACGAAACUGCGGCUAAUACCGGAUAGGAGCUCCUGCUGCACGGUGGGGGUUGGAAAGUUUCGGCGGUUGUGGAUCGACUCGCGGGUUAACAGCUUGUUGGUGGGGUAGUGGCUUACCAAGGCUUUGACGGGUAGCCGGCCUGAGAGGGUGACCGGCGACAUGGGGACUGAGAGACGGCCCAGUCUGCUACGGGAGGCAGCAGUGGGGAGUCUUGCGCAAUGGGCGGGAGCCUGUUGCAGCAGCGCCGCGAGCGGGAUGACGGCCUUCGAGGGGUAAACCGCUUUCGCCUGUGACGAGGCGGGAGUGACGGUAAUGGGUAAAGAAGCACCGGCUAGCUACGUG
rnacentral:rRNA from 1 species